UACGUAGGGUCCGAGCGUUGUCCGGAAUUACUGGGCGUAAAGAGCUCGUAGGUGGUUUGUCGCGUUGUCCGUGAAAACUCACAGCUCAACUGUGGGCGUGCGGGCGAUACGGGCAGACUGGAGUACUGCAGGGGAGACUGGAAUUCCUGGUGUAGCGGUGGAAUACGCAGAUAUCAGGAGGAACACCGGUGGCGAAGGCGGGUCUCUGGCAGUAACUGACGCUGGAGGAGCGAAAGCGUGGGAGCAAACAGG
rnacentral:rRNA from 1 species